UAGGGAAUAUUGGGCAAUGGGCGAGAGCCUGACCCAGCCAUGCCGCGUGCAGGAAGCAGGCUUUCUGAGUCGUAAACUGCUUUUGACAGGGAAGAAUAAGCGCUACGUGUAGCGUGAUGACGGUACCUGCAGAAUAAGCACCGGCUAACUCCGUGCCAGCAGCCGCGGUAAUACGGAGGGUGCGAGCGUUGUCCGGAUUUAUUGGGUUUAAAGGGUGCGUAGGCGGCCCGUUAAGUCCGGGGUGAAAGCCCGUUGCUCAACAACGGAACUGCCCUGGAUACUGACGGGCUUGAGUACAGACGAGGUUGGCGGAAUGGACCGAGUAGCGGUGAAAUGCAUAGAUACGGUCCAGAACCCCGAUUGCGAAGGCAGCUGACUAGGCUGUUACUGACGCUGAGGCACGACAGCGUGGGGAGCGAACAGG
rnacentral:rRNA from 1 species